rnacentral:rRNA from 1 species
AACGAACGCUGGCGGCAUGCCUAACACAUGCAAGUCGAACGGGAUCCACCUUUCGGGGUGGUGAGAGUGGCGGACGGGUGAGUAACGCGUGGGAACCUGCCCAGUGGUGGGGGAUAACUGCGGGAAACUGCAGCUAAUACCGCAUGAGCCCGAGAGGGGAAAGAUUUAUCGCCAUUGGAGGGGCCCGCGUUCGAUUAGGUAGUUGGUGGGGUAAUGGCCUACCAAGCCGACGAUCGAUAGCUGGUCUGAGAGGAUGAUCAGCCACACUGGGACUGAGAUACGGCCCAGACUCCUACGGGAGGCAGCAGUGGGGAAUAUUGGACAGUGGGGGCAACCCUGAUCCAGCAAUGCCGCGUGAGUGAUGAAGGCCUUCGGGUUGUAAAGCUCUUUUGCCAGGGACGAUGAUGACGGUACCUGGAGAAUAAGCCCCGGCUAACUUCGUGCCAGCCGCCGCAGUAAAAC